rnacentral:piRNA from 1 species
UGGACAACUCUUAGGUGAAUCUUAA